rnacentral:lncRNA from 1 species
UGGAGGCCAACCUCAGAAGGCCGAUCUCGUCGUCCUCAUACUGCGGCGAUGCCCUGCAGCAACCUCACCGUACCAUGCUUUGCUUGCUGGUUAUGCCACGAUAUAUCAAUCAUGAACUAUGCCCUGCCGCCCCAGCUAUACCCUGCCACAUCUACCAAUACUUUACCAUUCACAAGAACGACCUAUGCCGUGCGCCUUAAGCAAGCUCUAGCUGCGCACCAUCUGGCUAAAAGCUAUCUCCUCCCAUGAUGAG